rnacentral:rRNA from 2 species
CCAAUAGCGUAUAUUAAAGUUGUUGCAGUUAAAAAGCUCGUAGUUGAAUUUCGGGGUUCUACCGUUGGUCAGGCUUUGUCUGUACUGGCGUGUAGAAUUUCUACCUUCUGGGGAACCAUCAUGUUAUUAAUUUAGUGUGAUGGGAAACCAGGACCUUUACCUUGAAAAAAUUAGAGUGUUCAAAGCAGGCUUAUGUCUGAAUACAUUAGCAUGGAAUAAUAGAAUAGGACGGUGGUCCUGUUUUGUUGGUUUCUGAAUCACCGUAAUGAUUAAUAGGGAUAGUUGGGGGCAUUAGUAUUCAAUUGUCAGAGGUGAAAUUCUUGGAUUUAUUGAAGACUAACUUCUGCGAAAGCAUUUGCCAAGGAUGUUUUCAUUAAUCAAGAACGAAAGUUAGGGGAUCGAAGACGAUCAGAUACCGUCGUAGUCUUAACCAUAAACUAUGCCGACUAGGGAUCGGACGAUGUUAACUUUUCUUGACUCGUUCGGCGCCUUACG